rnacentral:tRNA from 1 species
GGUCAGAUAGCCAAGCGGUCUACGGCGCUGCGUUCAGGUCGCAGUCUCUUCGGGGGCGUGGGUUCGAAUCCCACUCUGAUCA